rnacentral:rRNA from 1 species
GGGUUGUGAGGUUAAGCGACUAAGCGUACACGGUGGAUGCCCUGGCAGUCAGAGGCGAUGAAGGACGUGCUAAUCUGCGAUAAGCGUCGGUAAGGUGAUAUGAACCGUUAUAACCGGCGAUUUCCGAAUGGGGAAACCCAGUGUGAUUCGUCACACUAUCAUUAACUGAAUCCAUAGGUUAAUGAGGCGAACCGGGGGAACUGAAACAUCUAAGUACCCCGAGGAAAAGAAAUCAACCGAGAUUCCCCCAGUAGCGGCGAGCGAACGGGGAGCAGCCCAGAGCCUGAAUCAGUGUGUGUGUUAGUGGAAGCGUCUGGAAAGGCGUGCGAUACAGGGUGACAGCCCCGUACACAAAAAUGCACAUACUGUGAGCUCGAUGAGUAGGGCGGGACACGUGGUAUCCUGUCUGAAUAUGGGGGGACCAUCCUCCAAGGCUAAAUACUCCUGACUGACCGAUAGUGAACCAGUACCGUGAGGGAAAGGCGAAAAGAACCCCGGCGAGGGGAGUGAAAAAGAACCUGAAACCGUGUACGUACAAGCAGUGGGAGCACGCUUAGGCGUGUGACUGCGUACCUUUUGUAUAAUGGGUCAGCGACUUAUAUUCUGUAGCAAGGUUAACCGAAUAGGGGAGCCGAAGGGAAACCGAGUCUUAACUGGGCGUUAAGUUGCAGGGUAUAGACCCGAAACCCGGUGAUCUAGCCAUGGGCAGGUUGAAGGUUGGGUAACACUAACUGGAGGACCGAACCGACUAAUGUUGAAAAAUUAGCGGAUGACUUGUGGCUGGGGGUGAAAGGCCAAUCAAACCGGGAGAUAGCUGGUUCUCCCCGAAAGCUAUUUAGGUAGCGCCUCGUGAAUUCAUCUCCGGGGGUAGAGCACUGUUUCGGCAAGGGGGUCAUCCCGACUUACCAACCCGAUGCAAACUGCGAAUACCGGAGAAUGUUAUCACGGGAGACACACGGCGGGUGCUAACGUCCGUCGUGAAGAGGGAAACAACCCAGACCGCCAGCUAAGGUCCCAAAGUCAUGGUUAAGUGGGAAACGAUGUGGGAAGGCCCAGACAGCCAGGAUGUUGGCUUAGAAGCAGCCAUCAUUUAAAGAAAGCGUAAUAGCUCACUGGUCGAGUCGGCCUGCGCGGAAGAUGUAACGGGGCUAAACCAUGCACCGAAGCUGCGGCAGCGACGCUUAUGCGUUGUUGGGUAGGGGAGCGUUCUGUAAGCCUGUGAAGGUGUGCUGUGAGGUAUGCUGGAGGUAUCAGAAGUGCGAAUGCUGACAUAAGUAACGAUAAAGCGGGUGAAAAGCCCGCUCGCCGGAAGACCAAGGGUUCCUGUCCAACGUUAAUCGGGGCAGGGUGAGUCGACCCCUAAGGCGAGGCCGAAAGGCGUAGUCGAUGGGAAACAGGUUAAUAUUCCUGUACUUGGUGUUACUGCGAAGGGGGGACGGAGAAGGCUAUGUUGGCCGGGCGACGGUUGUCCCGGUUUAAGCGUGUAGGCUGGUUUUCCAGGCAAAUCCGGAAAAUCAAGGCCGAGGCGUGAUGACGAGGCACUACGGUGCUGAAGCAACAAAUGCCCUGCUUCCAGGAAAAGCCUCUAAGCAUCAGGUAACAUCAAAUCGUACCCCAAACCGACACAGGUGGUCAGGUAGAGAAUACCAAGGCGCUUGAGAGAACUCGGGUGAAGGAACUAGGCAAAAUGGUGCCGUAACUUCGGGAGAAGGCACGCUGAUACGUAGGUGAAGCGACUUGCUCGUGGAGCUGAAAUCAGUCGAAGAUACCAGCUGGCUGCAACUGUUUAUUAAAAACACAGCACUGUGCAAACACGAAAGUGGACGUAUACGGUGUGACGCCUGCCCGGUGCCGGAAGGUUAAUUGAUGGGGUUAGCGCAAGCGAAGCUCUUGAUCGAAGCCCCGGUAAACGGCGGCCGUAACUAUAACGGUCCUAAGGUAGCGAAAUUCCUUGUCGGGUAAGUUCCGACCUGCACGAAUGGCGUAAUGAUGGCCAGGCUGUCUCCACCCGAGACUCAGUGAAAUUGAACUCGCUGUGAAGAUGCAGUGUACCCGCGGCAAGACGGAAAGACCCCGUGAACCUUUACUAUAGCUUGACACUGAACAUUGAGCCUUGAUGUGUAGGAUAGGUGGGAGGCUUUGAAGUGUGGACGCCAGUCUGCAUGGAGCCGACCUUGAAAUACCACCCUUUAAUGUUUGAUGUUCUAACGUGGACCCGUGAUCCGGGUUGCGGACAGUGUCUGGUGGGUAGUUUGACUGGGGCGGUCUCCUCCUAAAGAGUAACGGAGGAGCACGAAGGUUGGCUAAUCCUGGUCGGACAUCAGGAGGUUAGUGCAAUGGCAUAAGCCAGCUUGACUGCGAGCGUGACGGCGCGAGCAGGUGCGAAAGCAGGUCAUAGUGAUCCGGUGGUUCUGAAUGGAAGGGCCAUCGCUCAACGGAUAAAAGGUACUCCGGGGAUAACAGGCUGAUACCGCCCAAGAGUUCAUAUCGACGGCGGUGUUUGGCACCUCGAUGUCGGCUCAUCACAUCCUGGGGCUGAAGUAGGUCCCAAGGGUAUGGCUGUUCGCCAUUUAAAGUGGUACGCGAGCUGGGUUUAGAACGUCGUGAGACAGUUCGGUCCCUAUCUGCCGUGGGCGCUGGAGAACUGAGGGGGGCUGCUCCUAGU